GACGAACGCUGGCGGCGUGCCUAAUACAUGCAAGUCGAGCGGAAAGGCCCGGUGCUUGCUCCUCUAGGGUGAGCCGCGUACGGGAGAGUAACGCGUCCUGCCCCUGCCUUUGAGAUAGCGACAACAUACGGGAACUAAUGCUAAUACCGAAUAAUAUCUUCAAGCGUAGGGUUGAAAAGUUACGGCUGCUUUUGCUGGACUCGCGGCUUAUCCGCCUGUUUGGGGGGUAGUGGCUUACCAAAGCUGUGACGGGUAGCCGGCCUGGGGGGCCGACCGGCGACCUAGGGACUGAGGGACGGCACAGGCUCGGACGGGAGGCAGCAGUGGGGAAUCUUGCAGAAUAGGCGGGAGCUGGAUGCAGAAGCGCUGCGUGCGGGAUAACGGCCUUAGGGUUGUAAAACGAUUUCAGAAGGGACGAAGCAUGUGGUGACGGUACCUGCACAAGAAGCACCGGCUAACUACGUG
rnacentral:rRNA from 1 species